UGGGGAAUUUUGGACUAUGGGGGAAACCCUGAUCCAGCCAUCCCACGUGUGCGAUGAAUGCCUUCUGGUUGUAAAGCACUUUUCGCAGGAAAGAAACGUCAUGGGCUAAUACCCCGUGAAACUGACGGUACCUGCAGAAUAAGCACCGGCUAACUACGUGCCAGCAGCCGCGGUAAUACGUAGGGUGCAAGCGUUAAUCGGAAUUACUGGGCGUAAAGCGUGCGCAGGCGGUUUGGAAAGAAAGAUGUGAAAUCCCAGAGCUCAACUUUGGAACUGCAUUUUUAACUACCGGGCUAGAGUGUGUCAGAGGGAGGUGGAAUUCCGCGUGUAGCAAUGAAAUGCGUAGAUAUGCGGAGGAACACCGAUGGCGAAGGCAGCCUCCUGGGAUAACACUGACGCUCAUGCACGAAAGCGUGGGGAGCAAACAAG
rnacentral:rRNA from 1 species